rnacentral:rRNA from 1 species
AUUGAACGCUAGCGGCAGGCUUAACACAUGCAAGUCGAGCGAGCGGCGGACGGGUGAGUAAAGCCUGGGUAACUGCCUGAUAGAGCGGGAUAACUACUGGUAACGGUAGCUAAUACCGCAUACCAUCAGAUGUGCCCAGAUGGGAUUAGGUAGUAGGUGGGGUAAGGGCUCACCUAGCCGACGAUCCCUAGCUGGUCUGAGAGGAUGGACAGGAAAACUGGAAUUGAGACACGGUCCAGACUAAUAGGGGAGGCAGCAGGGGGGAAGAUUGCACAAUGGGCGGAAUCCUAAUGCAGCCAUGCCGCGUGUGUGAAGAAGGACUUAGGGUUUGAAAUCACUUUCAGCGAGGUGGCGUUACUCGAAGAAGAAGCACCGGCUAACUCCGUGCCAGCAGCCGCGGUAAUAC